rnacentral:lncRNA from 1 species
AGAACUGCCAGGGCCUGUUCAGACACACGAAGCACUGCAGGGCUGUAGGGCUGCUGGGCUGCUGAACUGGGUCUCAGAGCUUCAUGAGGAACAUUUGAUGUUGCCAAGGUCACCCAGCUGGCCAGCAUCCGUAGAGCUGCUGUGUCUGUUUGAUGAGGGGAGAGAGAAGAAGUGGAAGAGGAAGAGAGAGAGAUUAUGGGAAUCAGUUCACACUGUUCUGCAGGCUGGUAAGUCUCACAUCCAGCACCUGAAGCUGGAGACCGGGGCAGUAGGGGUGGAUGGGUCCCUAAGUCUGAAGCCUGAGAACCAGGGUGCCGAAGUCCAAGGUGGAAAAGGGUUAAUAUUUCUCUGUGAACAGACCAAAGUCCCUUUCCUCGGCCUUCUGUUCGACCUGGGCCCUUGAUGGAUAGAACCAUGGCCACCUGCUUUGGUGAGAGUGAGUCUUCCUCACUUGGUCUCCAACACCGAAUGUUAACCUCUUCCACAAAUGCCCACAAAAUCACAUCUGGAAGGAACGUCUUGCCACCAGUUAGCUGAAGGAGUUAACAGGAAUGCCUUCGCUGCUGGUCCCCAGAGUGGAGCACAAGUACGCCAGACUUGAUCUGCAGGCCAGGGAGGGGCAGGCUCUGAGAUGUGCACAGUGCCUUGGCCACAAAGAGGUAAACACAAUCAACAACAAAAGCAAGCACAGGUUCACAGCAAGAGGCUGUCUCAGUGAUACCCAAGCUCAUCACUGGCCUAACUCAUCUAACAAAGUGUAUUUCAGGGAAGUAUUAGACCAGAAUGAAUUGGUUAAAGCAGAAAGCACCCAAUCUUCCACCCAGAUAGUUUGAGAAUGUGGUUUUCUAUUUGAACCAAAUGCCCCUGCAGGAGUGAGUGCCGGGAGGUUCCUUAGUCUUCUGUACUCUGUGCAUAUGCCCUUGGCCUCUGCCAGGCCUCUGUCUGAACUCUCUGUUCUGUGCAGAGCUGUGCCCUCGGGCCAGGGCUGUGACUUACUGGCACCACCUUCUCAGCACCCC